rnacentral:rRNA from 1 species
CCUACGGGGGGCAGCAGUGGGGGAUAUUGCACAAUGGGGGAAACCCUGAUGCAGCGACGCCGCGUGUGGGAAGACGGUCCUCUGGAUUGUAAACCACUGUCCUCAGGGACGAAGAUGACGGUACCUGGGGAGGAAGCUCCGGCUAACUACGUGCCAGCAGCCGCGGUAAUAUGUAGGGAGCAAGCGUGGUCCGGAAUUACUGGGUGAAAAGGGAGCGUAGGCGGGAUGGAAAGUUGGGGGUAAAAUCUACCGGCUAAACUGGUAGUCGCACUCAAAACUGCUAUUCUUGAGUUAAGAAGAGGCAGGCGGAAUUCCUAGUGUAGCGGUGAAAUGCGUAGAUAUUAGGAGGAACACCAGUGGCGAAGGCGGCCUGCUGGGCUUUUACUGACGCUGAGGCUCGAAAGUGUGGGGAGCAAACAGGAUUAGAUACCCGAGUAGUC